rnacentral:ncRNA from 1 species
ACAGUUUUGGUCCUGAGCUUACCGUUCUUUUUUAUUAAAAUUAUACAUGCAAGCCUCAGCACACCAGUGAAAAUGCCCACAACCCCUUAAAAGAUACGUGGAGCAGGCAUCAGGCACUACCACUUAAGCCCACAACGCCUUGCCACGCCACACCCUCACGGGAUAUUCAGCAGUAAUAAAUAUUGGGCCAUAAGUGAAAACUUGACCCAGCUAUAAUAAUAUUAGGGCUGGUUAAUUUCGUGCCAGCCACCGCGGUUAUACGAAAAGCCCAAAAUAACGGCAAACGGCGUAAAAUGUGACUAGAGAUCCUUAAUAUCAAAAAUAUUAAAACCUAUAACUUAGUUAUAAAACACUUAAGUAAUAGAGGAAAACCAACACAAANNNNNNNNNNNUUAUACCCUUGACCCCACGAAAGCUUAGAAACAAACUAGGAUUAGAUACCCUACUAUGCUAAGCCAUAAACAUUGAUAGUAUUAUACAAUACUUUCCGCCAGAGAACUACAAGUGAAAAACUUGAAACUCAAAGGACUUGACGGUGUCCCAUAUCGACCUAGAGGAGCCUGUCCUAUAAUCGAUACUCCCCGUUCCACCCAACCUCAACUAGCAAAUUAUCAGCCUAUAUACCGCCGUCGACAGCCUACCCUAUGAAGGUUUAAUAGUAGACAAAAUAGCCCCACCGCUAAUACGUCAGGUCAAGGUGUAGUAAAUGUUGAGGAAGAGAUUGGCUACAUUUUUUAUCUUAAAAAAUACGAAAAGCACUAUGAAACCGUCCAUGAAGGUGAAUUUAGUAGUAAAAUGAAUAAGAGUGUUCAUUUUAACAACGCUCUGGGACGCGUACACACCGCCCGUCACCCUCCUCAAUAACUAAACUAAACCUAUAUAAAUCAAAAAAGAAAACCAGAGGAGGCAAGUCGUAACAUGGUAAGCGUACCGGAAGGUGUGCUUGGACUAAC